UCAGUGCAUCAAAGAUGGUUAGGAGGUUGAAGAUAUGUCGUGUGAAAGGCGCGGGGAGGCAAGGACGGGACACGCGGGACGCUGGAGUGGAGGACGAACACCGCAGCAAGGUAUGUGCAGAGAACAACCACGGUCGCCAAGUCACGAAUCCUCUCUUGAAUGUCCACUUCUCCUUGGCUGCCUGGUCAUCAUCAUAUCACAAAUCAAAGUUUUCUUGUUGCGAAUUAGAGCAGAUAAAUUUGAUGGCUGUAACUUGCCAUAAUUGCAAGGUCUAAUUCUAUUAUGUGUUGAGUUUAUUGGCAAGAUUUGGUCCGUUUUGAUACAAUUUCAUUCUGGUUGCCAUCUACAAGUUACUGUUGUUGCAUCACAGUAAUUUAUUUGGAAGCAAUGAUACUUGAGAUUGAGACUUUCUGGGUAGGUUGUCACAUGUAUUUAACUUACGAUUUCAAAUUGAGAUACAACCAGCAAUCUGGAAUCAGUACUGUUGCUCAGACAACCUAGAGGGGUUAUAAAAUUUCUUUGCAAAGCUUGUAUAGAAGCUUAAGGAUAUGCCUGCUACUUCUUUUUAGGAAAAUAAAAUGCCUGCUACUUUGGGAUAUUGUGGUGUUACUAAAUGACCGCUUCAUAAAUCAUAAUAUGAGAUGGUGUUUGGUCAACCAAACAUGAAGAAUAUUGGAACAAAAAGACAAAGAAUAUUGGUCAACCAAAGGCAAAUUCACUUCAGCAAAAAUUCACUUGAUGUUGCAAUUUUUUUAUUUGUUAUUUAAGAUUAUUUUUAGAUGGAGAGCUGGGCCAGUUUGGAUGCCAAUGUUGGUUUUUAGAUCAGUCAAUGGUUCAUUGCAGCAUAUGUUCUCCAUAUAAUUUGAUAUGCAAGGUUUUGUUGCUAAAUACUACACCCUUACAAUGCAAAGGGAAGCAAGAGCAGCUAGCAGUAGCAGUUAUAACUGAAGUGAUAAUGGGCACUUUUCUUUUCUGAACAACACUUGAUUUUCUCAUAGUAAUAGUCCUUUACUGAAUUUAGUUGAUACAUAAAUGGUUAUUUACUGAACAACACUUAUAUGUGUGUAGGUACGAUGGUGAUGAAGUUUUAAAAUGGUCCAUUGCCCAACAAGGGCAUUCUAAUUUCUGACUGGAUUAUACUGUAACAAUAUGAAACCGAAAUUUCAAAUGGUUCACAUACUAUAGUUCAUUUACAGGAGAUUGUAAACUUUUGGCCACCAUGUGUUGAGAAAUUGUGCAUUGAGAUAAAAGAUUAUAUAAUUUAUGCAAAGGCGUGUGAUAUAUAUUUGUUUCAACAAGUAUGUUGAUUCAUGGAGAAUGAUAUUAUAAAUUAUUAGUAUGAUUGAUGAACUAGGUGUUGUCACUGCUUGAAAUUUCAUUUUUUUGAGAAAUCUAUCCACAUCUGGUCUUGUUUCAAAUCAUGUGUUUUUGUCCAAACGUGCGUUGCACGUGCAAGCUUAUUAGUGUUUGUAUAAGCAUUUGUAAAUAGCUAGCCUUUUUGGCUAAUUUUUUUUUGUUCCGGUCAGCAAGUAUGCCGACGGCAAUGCCGUAGGCAUAGAUGGCUGUUGUGAUACCAGGAGCUGCCACGUGGCAUGUAUGCCUACGGCAAAGCCGUCGGCAUAGUUUUGCAUCUAUGCCUACGGCUUUGCUGUAGGCAUAGUCCACGACCAGGAGCAAUCAGGAGCUGCCACGUGGAAGGCUAUGCCGACGGCAAAGCCGUAGGCAUAGAUUUGCCACGUGGCAACUCCUGGUUGGUCGGACUUCGCAAUGGCGCCGUGAGUUGCCGUCUCGUCCAUUUUUUUGCCGACGGUGAAACUAUGCCGACGGCUGGACGGAAGCCGUAGGCAUAGGCUGCUAUGCCGACGGCUUUAGUACACCGACGGUCUGACAAGACUACGCUGACGUGAUCUACGCCGGCGGACCUAUGCCGACGGCAGCCGUAGGCAUAGACCUAUGCCGACGGCAAAGGACCUAUGCCGACGGCCCUGGGCCAUAGGCAUAGACCGCGAGUCCGGUAGUGAAUAUGCUCCAAAAGGAGGUUGAUCUCCAAAACAGACACAUACUUUCUUGAGCAUCACACAUCUUUGGCUCACAUAGCUAGAAGAAAAUCCUCUUCUACUAAACAUCGCCUAAAUCUCUCAACUUCUCUCCUUUAAUCUCCCUGAUUCAUCUCCAUAGCAUGACAGCCACCGGUAGACUAGAGGGAACUAUUAAUGCAGCGAGUAUCAGAGUAUGAAACAAGCGAUUGUAGACCAUCAACCAUCAUAACAGUAACAAGAAAUGAUAAACAUCCAGAUCAGCAAAGCGCUGGGUGACUAGUUAGGAGUUCUUUAUUGGUUUACUAGUAGUUUCUAACCAUGACUGUCGUACUUCCUUUUUAGCUGGAAUUUAAUUUGGCCGUUCCUCAUUUAAUUAUUCCUUUUAGCACAGUGAACUUUGUUGACAAAAAAAGGGUUCAAAUUCCACAUAGUUUGGGGCAUCCAUCAGUUGACUAGUUAGAACAUGAGCUGCUCAUGCAGUCUGAUUCGAUCGGCAAGAUAUGGGUGGACUACUCAACAGUUAACCACAUAUAUAUUAUGGACAAAUACCAUGUGUAAAAUUAAGGGUUUCUGGAUAUUUGGAUGGACUGCUCAACCCUCGAGGGGUGGCGUUGCAUAUAUUUAUAAUAUGACCACAUGUACUAGAUGUUAAACACAUGAUUGUGUCCCGUAUGUGUCACGUACAGAAGACGUACAGGAAGUUGAGUACUUCUCCAGGAUAGCUAGGCGCAUGAGAUAUUCUGUUGUAACUACUAGCUAGCUUAUCCUCUUAUCUCUCUUAUCUUUCUUUUUCAUCAAGUUGUAUCUCAACCAACUCUUGUACGCGUAUCUCAGGCUCGCACCCUGCCUAUUUAACAUGCAGCACGUCGCCCUAGAUCGUGUAAGACGUUUCCGCCAAUGCACACUAGAAGCUAUAAAUACAAAGUCUACCAGGAACACAGUCCAAAUUUGCCAUAUGGCCAAACCAAAUUUUGCAUUGCCAAAUUUCAGGGAGAGGCGGAUGACCCUUUUGGCAAGUACUGAAAAGUACAGAUUACUGGAAUAGCGAAAUUGGUGAUCGCAAAGUGGAUUUCCAAGCAUGCAUGGCUACUUAAACCCCAAUAAAAAACAGAAUAGUUCGACCUUCGUUGAAAUAAAAAGAGGUUCACAUUAUGUAAACUGUAGUUACGAAAUCAUAACCGUAAAAAGGGACAUCAGAACUAUAACUACAAGAAAGUGUUGUUGAGUAAACCGUGAUGAACUGAAUUAAUUGUUGAUGCAGUCGAAUCCAAACUAGUUCGAUAUCGGAGGUAAAAGCCACAUGGGAGGACGGAUGUCACCCAUCAUGUAGUAACCUGUUGACAUGAUGCCUUCCACACCAUCACCGACACUUUCGAUUUGCUCGUAAUAUACACUGUCAUCAUUGUUGGAUGUCGUCAAGAACACAUUGGCACUGUUAGGGAUCUCAUUGUCUCUCCGUAAGAAACUAUGGUGGGACAAGUAAAUAUGGUUCCUCUGCACGUCGCCUGUCCCGCUUGCUGGUACGCACACUUCUUUGGAGCAUGUUAGUCCCAAGAAUAGCGCGUAGUCUCCUAAGCUAUUCACCUCCACCCACUUCAGUUAGUUCAACAAUUCCUUGCCCACCUCUCUCUUGUUCACACAGCCGCCCUGACCAUAGUUGCUCCCAGGGCUCUUCUACAUCUCGCCACCCUAGCCUAAGAGCAUUUAAAAAAUGUUGUUUGGGUUAAGAAAAUGUAAUGAUAUGGCGAAAAUGAUCCAAUGAUUGUAAGUAGUGCCAGUCAUUGUUAUAAGAUAAUUAUUCCACUUCUAUAUACCGGCGUGGUUGGGGGUGGCCAGAGGUGUGUGCGUGAGGCCGGCAUUGUUCGGAGUCGGCUCUGACGUGCGCGGCGGUGGGAAUCUCGCAGGCGGCAGCCAACUAUGAAUCCUGGUAGCGUAAUCUCCGACUCGAUCUGUUUCGGUUCAUGCUCGUUCCAAUACCUAUCCGGUGCUGGCUAGACGGAUCUGGCGGGGCGGGGCGGGGCCGGGCGGUGUGGUGCGGCCGGGCGACAGCGGCUCGGGACGGGGGCAGGGCGGUGUGGAGCGACNNNNNNNNNNNNNNNNNNNNNNNNNNNNNNNNNNNNNNNNNNNNNNNNNNNNNNNNNNNNNNNNNNNNNNNNNNNNNNNNNNNNNNNNNNNNNNNNNNNNNNNNNNNNNNNNNNNNNNNNNNNNNNNNNNNNNNNNNNNNNNNNNNNNNNNNNNNNNNNNNNNNNNNNNNNNNNNNNNNNNNNNNNNNNNNNNNNNNNNNNNNNNNNNNNNNNNNNNNNNNNNNNNNNNNNNNNNNNNNNNNNNNNNNNNNNNNNNNNNNNNNNNNNNNNNNNNNNNNNNNNNNNNNNNNNNNNNNNNNNNNNNNNNNNNNNNNNNNNNNNNNNNNNNNNNNNNNNNNNNNNNNNNNNNNNNNNNNNNNNNNNNNNNNNNNNNNNNNNNNNNNNNNNAGGCACGGGGGCGGGGCGGGGCGGUGCGGGGUGGCCGGCGACGGGGGUGGUGCGGGGCGGCCGGCGAAGGGGGUGGCGGCGCUGGUUAGGGACGGCGGCAGGGGUGAGGGGUGGCGGCGGCUCGGGCACUACUAGGAAAAGGGCUAUAGAUAAUAUUGACAUUAAUGAUGCACCAGCCCUGUGGUGCGCCACUACUAUAUAGCAGUGGCGCACCAUGUGUUGGUGCGCCAUUAGUGUGAUGGACAGUAAUGGCGCACCGCACCUAUGGUGCGCCACUACUACCAAACUUUUUUUUCCAAAAAUACUAAUGGCGCACCAGUGCAUAGUGCGUCAUUACUAGUUUUAACUAGUAAUGGCGCACCACUCACCCCGUGCGCCACUACUAACAUUUUUUUGCAAAACUACUAAUGGCGCACCACCAGAUGGUGCGCCAUUAGUAACCAGGGUUACUAAUGGCGCAUUUUUUGGUAGUGCGCCAUUAGUAACCUGAGACCAGCUAGAUAUUUUGGACAGCCACCUACCACACUCACUUUCCCCACUUCAUUCUCUCCACCUCCUCGUCCAAGCUUGUCUCGGCUGCCUCCUCCUCCUCACCUCAUUUGCACCAUAGAUUCAUCCAAAUUAAGUGGUUAAAUUACCUUUUUUGAUAGGUAAGUAAGGGGAAAGCUUUCUUUAUGUUGUAGAUCUACUUUUUUCUCCCUCCAACAAUGUGCACAUGCACUUUUUAUGGCCUAGCUAGAUCUAUGUAUGUUUGUGGUGUUGCAUAUGGUUGUGGUGUUGCAUAUAUAUUUGUGUUUGUAGGUACCAGUAUUUGAAAUGUGAUAGUUGCCAAUAUUUUGCCGGAAUGUUGAUUCAUUUCCGUUUCGGCGAGAAUUUGGCACUAUGCAUUCUUCUUGGUCCUAUUUUUAGGCAAAGUCAUGCCAAAGUCAUGACAUAUGAUUCAUUUCCGUUCCAACUUUUUUCUUCGAAGAAACUUGGCAAAGGAAGCAUAUGUCAAGAGCCAUACAGUAGGCUCACGGCAACAACAUGCCACGCAGCAAGUUCGUCAGUGGUUGACGGCUCUGUUACGGUGGGUAGCCUUUGCCAAGAGCCCGCACUUUUCUGCUCGGCAAAGAGUCGAUUCAUGCAUAAUUCAAGCAAAGUGAUCUUAUUUUUCUUGUGCCAUUAAUUAAAAGUAGCAUGCUCUUAUUUGUUUCUCAUAUUCAAACAUGUUUGCAAAGUGGUGAAUCUUAAUUAUGAGUUAGUCGUCUCAUAGGAGUGAUAGCUUGCUUUCAUGGAGUUUCUUCAUACGUACAGCUAUAGCGGUUUGAGCAGGGUACCGCUAAAUGACAGGCUAUAGAUUCAUGUAAAGUUGUCAGAAAAAAAGUCUGAAAUAGCUGGCUAUAGCUGAUUUGGAGGACCCCCGCUAUUUGACGUAGCCUGCUAUUUAAAACAAUGCUCUAGGUUGGAGAGUAAAAGAAGUAGAUUGUUCAGGUUCUAGGCUACCGGGGGGUGAAUAUACCUCGGCAGCAAUGCCAGAUCUGGCCGUUUAACAUCACGAAAAAUCAUACAAUGCCGAAAAUCCUCAGACCUGGCACGGUGUCGUCACAUGGAACCUGGCAUGGUGUCAUCACAUGUCCUGCGAUGGCAGGAGCAUCAAGACCAGCGUCACAUUGAUUUCAGCUGUAGGAAGAAGGAGGAAUGGGGAAGCGAGGAGGAUGAGAAGAGAACUGAGAGACCUAUGGAUAGGGCACCAUACAGUUAUUGUCAUUUUUUCCUCUGCUGUUGGCCAAUAUGUGUGUGUGCAUGUCAGACAGAGAGAGAGAGAGAGAGAGGUGGCUCUGUGAAGGAACACGCGAAGGGGCCAGACCAAAAGAUAUCUCCCUAAGAGAGGUACAAAGAGGUAGAGGUAGCUUCAGUUAUGGACGAGACCCCACCACCUGACCCAUCGCAGUUGCAAGGCGCAUACAAGAAUUGUACCAACCAUGGUGCCUAGAAUUACACAUGUCGGCUGCUCCUAAAUCCCUUAAAUCCUCAGGAACCCUAGAAAACAUGAGAGAUUUCAAACCCUGCAGACUCCCCAAUCUUCAAUUAUAGUACACAUGCAUGUUACUAGAAUUAUUUAUUGUAGUAAUAAUCGUACAUCUAUGGGCCUAUUACAGGCAUGGCACCAAACCUUCCCUCCAAUCGGUGGGCCCCUCCUUCCCUCUAUUUCUAGUCACAAUUUGCUAACAGGCUAAUCACGUAAAAAGUACAUAAUUCUUUCGUAGAUGUAGCAUUGCUCUUACUGUAGCAACUCGUAGCAUUGUAGUUUCUGCAGCAGAAUACUAUGGCAACACUGCAGCGUACUACAGUGAAACGGUGCAGCACACCUCUACAACCCCGUCUUGAAAGGGUCCGGAUGCGCGAGCUGCCACAUUGCCAACACCAGGAAACUAUUGCAUAUGCUUGUUCCUCCCUCGGUGUCAGUAGAAUGGGUAAUCAGGGAUUGAGACCAUCAUAUACCAUGAAUUCAUGAACUCUUUCCUAUUGUUUUUACGUUUUUUUGCAUAUAUAUACCCAACUAGGUCACCUAUGUGAUCAUUUGGAUAGUUUUUGCCUUGGUCAAACCCUUCGUUUGUCUACCUUCUAUUACUAAUCCGCCCUUAUGUCAAUGACCCUUCAUCUUACGUACCUUCAACGGCCCUUGUUUGCUAGAGAAAUCAGAAUAGUUGAGAAUAAAAUGGCAAAUGGGCACGUGACGCGUGGGAGUACGAGGAAGAGUUCUAGCCAAAUCUCACAAAAAUAAAGGAAAAAUAGAGGGAAGAAAGAAACAAACAAAAAAUAGAAAAAGAAAAAGGAAAGGAAAAAAAAUUCGAUCGAGCGUUCCUUCUCUGGGACUCCUCGCGAGAGAAGGGAAGGUUUAGCCCUCCGCUCCAAUUACCAAAUACCAAUUUCCCUUCCUAAUAUAACUCGAUUGGAUUCCCCACCCCGCCGCACAUCGUUCGUUCUGCCUGCAGAUGCUCACGACCACCUCCACCAUGGCUUCUCCUAUUUUUCCGCCCGUCACCUACUUUCGUAAGUCGCCUCAACUAUCUCCUCUACCCCCACGCCCCGCGUCUCUCUCUCCAACGCUGUGCCGGAGCAAAGCUGGAAUCGUUAGGGCAAGCAAUGAAACCUACUGUAGAUCCGAGCCUUUGCCUCGUUGUACAUGCGGAUUCGGUUGUGAGGCGGACCGGCGAGGCGAUUUCUAAAGUUGGAUUAUUCCGAUGCUUUUGCUAGCUAGAGCCGGCAGAUCUUUGUUUAUUCACCUACCUUUCUAAGGUUGGAUUUAUUAUAUCAAAGUCCCAGAUCCACAGCUUACUUACUUACGUUUGCUUGAUUUAUGUUUUGCUUCAUUCAUUUACCAGCAAUAAACAAAAAGAAGAUUUCUGGGGCAUGCAAGCUGCUAUUCGAGACACCAUCCGGAUUCGCAAUUUUCUCUUUUGAUUUGCACUUCCUCCACAAAACUAUUGAGGUGACCACUACGUGAUUUCUUGUUUCUUCUCUGUUGUUGACGAUGCCAUUGCCAAGCACCAUCCGACGGAUUAACCUCUUUUUGUUUCCCUGCAGGACACCUGGACCUACUUCGUGGGCGACUAUUGGCACAACUGUGUUAGUCAUCACACCAUUUUAAUUUCCUCUUCUUUUCACUUCAAACUAGAGUGAAAGCAUUAAGAAACUCAGCCUAUAAGCGGAACCUUGCUAGGGCAGCUAAACCAACUCAUAACACUAAAUCUAUGUAUGUACAGUAUUAUUUAGGUGUGCAGACAUGAUACUAUCACGCAUGAACGUGUGCACACCCCAAAACUAAGUUUCGAGCACUCACACACGAUACACUAUUGCUAAGGAUGCCACCAUGUCUUUUUUUCUUCUUCCCUUCUUUCACAUACCAAUCAGUAAGCACUGCAUUAACGCGUGAGUAGGUUAAACCAAGAUUCGAGCAGGGCUAUAUUUGUGGCUGACACAAUCCUGUCUCAUGGAGACACAUUGCAUAAUUACAAGUACUCCCUCCGUAAAGAAAUAUAUGAGCGUUUAGAUUACAAAAGUGGUGAUCUAAACGCCCUUAUAUUUCUUUACAGAGGGAGUAUUUUACAAGCUUUAUGUUUUUCUCUCUAAUCACGCUUUGCCCUUGUUCCUCAGUUCCUCGCGAUACAUGCUUUCCGUAGGUUCGAGGAUAAGUCUGAUGCCAUCAACCUCACCACCAGAUGAGUAGGCGGCCGAAUGAUCGGACUGAUCUGCGAGUACUGCCUCCCUGAAGAACUAAUCAUUGUUGGAAGUCCCGAAUAUAAAUCAAUAAUCGAAGAGAACCUGGUUUGUCUAACUGUGUAAACUCCCUAGUUGUUCAUGCAUGCGCAACAGCACGAUGUAACCCAUUCCUUUUUUCAGAGGCGAGCAUGUGUGUGCAAUGACAGAGUGAGGGAGAUUAUGUGGGGUAUGCAAAAUCUCAUGCCUCUUUUAAUCCCUCAAGAACAAUCUGUGUUCACAAAGGCGGACCGGCUCCCCAUAUGCAAAGGAUUGGAUAUGCUCUUAUCUCGACACGGCAUUAAUAUUGUCAAGCAAGAGUGGGUGAGCUUACUAAGCUUUGUCCUUCUCUUGUCUGAUAGUAUGCAAUGUUUUCUGCUUUAUUGCUAUCUUGUCAUGUAAUGUUCCUUUCUGAUCCAUCGUGCCCCCAUAACACCUUAUUGCCACGUUACCAGUGAUGAAAGGCAUUCAUAGGAACUCAAUCUGUUCAAGUCUUCUUAUAGAAAAUUUUGCCUUUUCAUGUUCCUUUCAGUGAUUAAGCAAAUGCUCAUUUGUAUCCAGAUUAAUGAAGAUAUUCUACAGCUGGCUCUCAAGGUGUAUCAUGCUGAUCUACGUGAAAACGAACAUUCAAAGUUCUUGCGCAGAAGUCUUGGUCUUGAUAAGCAUCUGAAGGCCAUUUCUGGAUUUGACACAAAGGAUUGGGAUUUAGUCAAACUUGCAACAGCGUUGAAGACAAUGGUCGAUCCCGAUGCUAAUCUUCUUCCAAUUGUCAAAACUUUCAAGGUGAAUCUUACUUUUUUUUUCUGCAAAAUUUUAGUAUGCAUAUGCUGGAAAGUUUUCAUUUUGGCUAAAGACUGAAGUAUAUGUUUGUUUACAGAUGUUCUCGCCUGAGGAGGCUAACUUGAUCGAGCUUGAUGCACCUAAAUAUGAAGAUCUGUUAGACAGGGACAUAGUCUCAGAAAUCUAUGAAGACAUUGUUGCUGUCCGUGAAUACGUGGACAAAGUGUUGUUGAAAUUGCGCCACUUGCUUAAGAAGGCUGAAGCAGCACUGGAAACUGAAGAUGUGCAGGAGAAGGGCGACUAAUGGUGUCGACUCCAUACAGCAAGUUGACCGUACAUGUUUAGCAGUGGUUCCGGUGGAAGUACCCAACCAAAGUAGCAUUGCUUAGGAGCAACAACGUCAUAUCACAUGUGAGAAUUCUCAGAUCUUGGUCGUGUGAUCUUUGUGAAGCAGCGUAGUUUUUACUGUCGUAUAUGUUGUAUUUGUUUUAAUGUUCCCAGUUCAUUGUUGAAGAUCAACAUGGUACUCUUUAGUGUACUCUAGUGGCAAGGGCGCACCAGUGGUCUUGUGCUCACCAAUCUAGCUAAUACAUUUGUCAACGUGUGUAUGCAGCCCAGAAAAAAACGCCAGUUGUUUAAAAAAAGCUUAACAGAAGUGCAGCAGCAAAGUGUUCAGUCGUCAAGCAUAUAAGCUAAUCUAUCUAUAUUAACUGAGAGGUGACAUCUUACAAGGUUGAUGCCAGAGCACAGCAUCGAUUGAAAUCCAGUCUAAUCACUACCGGAAUAACCUUAUAUGCCUAUGGCCUUAUCUAUGCCUACGGCUGCCGUAGGCAAAGAUGGAGCUAUGCCGACGGCCUAGGGAAAAACGUCGACAUAGAAAAGCCNNNNNNNNNNNNNNNNNNNNNNNNNNNNNNNNNNNNNNNNNNNNNNNNNNNNNNNNNNNNNNNNNNNNNNNNNNNNNNNNNNNNNNNNNNNNNNNNNNNNNNNNNNNNNNNNNNNNNNNNNNNNNNNNNNNNNNNNNNNNNNNNNNNNNNNNNNNNNNNNNNNNNNNNNNNNNNNNNNNNNNNNNNNNNNNNNNNNNNNNNNNNNNNNNNNNNNNNNNNNNNNNNNNNNNNNNNNNNNNNNNNNNNNNNNNNNNNNNNNNNNNNNNNNNNNNNAAAGCCGUCGGCAUAGCUCCAUCUAUGCCUACGGCAGCCGUAGGCAUAGUAAGGCCGUCGGCAUACAUCGAUCUAUGCCUACAGCAGCCAUAGGCAUAGUUAGGCCGUCGGCAUAGAUGUGGCUCUGGUGGCCCGGGACAGAUGGCGGGCCGACGCCGUCAAAUCUAUGCCGACGGCCCUGACAGCGGCCGUCGGCAUAGAUAUCAUCUGUUUUUCUACUAGCAGCUGCCACGUGGUAUAGCUAUGCCGACGGCAAAGAUGUAGGCAUAGUUUUCCAUCUAUGCCUACGGGGCAUAGCCCCGCCACGUGGCGCCUUCUGGUAGCUCCUGGCCGAGAACUAUGCCUACGGCCAUAGAUAUCAUCUGUUUUUUAUUUUAAAUUAUUUUUAUUUUUGAAAGUUAAAAUUUGAUUAAUUUAAAUUUAACUUAUCUAAACUUAAACAUACACAAAUUAUACAUCGAUUUGGGGUAGAAUUUUCCGUAGAUUGUGAAUAUCCAGUUUUUUUUUGUUUUUGAGUAUGUUAGAAAUGUGACCUCAUGUACUUUUGCAUAUAGGUCCUUAUACUUUGUUAAAAUCAUAAGUAAUUGACACGUCGAUCGAUUUUGACAAAUUUUAUAUGGUUUUUAUCAAAAUCUUGAAAGGAUAUGUUGCUAUACUAUGUUUCAAAUUUGAACAAACCAAAAUCAUGUUUGCUUCAGAUUUACAAAAAAUACCCUUUUAUUUUGACUUAUUUGUUUAUUUUUCAUUCCUUGGCCAAAGAGACAAAAUCUAUAUCUACAUCCAUAACAUUCUUUCUAGGAUUAUGAUGGAAGGUGUAAACACCGAGCACGUGGCUCCAGAGUGUGACCCGCUUCACGGACGGUGCUGCUGCUAGCACUUGGAGGGUGGAAAUGACCAUGUCGAGUCGAACAGGAGGGAAUCUUGUGGUGGGUUGGGCACAAACCUUGGUGUGAAAUGUUUCUAUGGGCUGGCCUAUCACAACCAGGUGGAAAAGUCCGUCGGGCAAAGGCCGUCCGGUGAAAGUCAAAGGCCUGGAUCUUAGGGUCAACGGGUAAGGGUUAGGCCGGUCGGGGGCCUUCAGGGGUAGUAAUGCCACUAAAACUUGCAUUGUGUCUUAAUAUAUGUAUACAGUGUGAUGGAGGGUUGAAAUAGCCAACAGAGCAACAUGCAGCACACUUCCUUCACAAAACCGGACAUGUUCUCUCUUGAUAGCUAGAUACUACGUCGGAGAUGUUGCAAUUUACAAGCGGCCUCCGGUCAGGCUCCUACAAAAUUCGCCCAAACUUUUACCACGACCUACAAGGGCCAUAUGACGACACCGUGCCAAGUCCCGAGAAUUUCCAUCAUCGUAUGAUUUUCCGUGGAGUUUAACGGCUAGGUCCGGCAUGCCGCUGAGGUAUAUUCGCCCUCCGGUGGCGGGGGAUGCCCCUCCUUUGGUUGCACUAGGCCUACACAUACUGCAAACACAUCAUAUAUGAUUUAAUAAAACACUUCUAGACAUCAUUUCAGGUGAUCACCAUGAAGAUCUACAACUUGCCGCAUUGAAAUCCUACGGAUGCAAUAAAUGUCUCAAAUAUUACAGGCAACCCAGAAAAAUGUCAUGUCCGGGCACGUGUCAUGCAAUGGCCCCAUUUGAGAGCACACGAAGUUUCGAGGUCAACGGAGCAACGAGCAACACUUCCUUCACAAACCGGAGCAGUUCUCUCUCGAUAGCCGCAUACUACCUCGGAGAUGGUGUAGUUUACAAGCGGCCUUCGGUCAGGCUUCUGCGAAACGAGCUCAAACUUUUAACACACUCUACAAGGUCCAUACGAUGAAACCGUGCCAGGUUCCGAGGAUUUUCGGCAUCGUAUGAUUUUUUGUGGAUUUUAAUGGCUAGAUCCGACAUGCCGUUGAGGUACAUUCACCCUCCGGUGGCGGGGCUUGUCCCUCCUGUGGUUGCACCAGACCUACACAUACCGCAAAGACAUCAGAUAUGAUUUGACAAACCACUUCUGGGUAUCAUUUCAGGUGGUCUCCAUGCAGAUCUAUAACUUCCCGUAUUAAAACCCUACAGAUGCAAUAAAUGUCUCAAAUAUUGUAGGGCCCCAGAAAAAUGCCAUGUUCUGGCAUGUGUCAUGCAAUGGUUCCCUUUGAGAGCAUGAGAAGUUUCAAGGUCAACGGAGCAACGGGCAACACACUUCCUUCACAAACCGGACAAGUUCACUCUCGAUAGCUGCAUACUACCUCAAAGAUGGUGUAGUUUACAAGCGGCCUUCGAUCAGGCUUCUGCGAAAACGAGCUCAAACUUUUACCACACUCUACAAGGGCCAUACGACGACACCGUGCCAGGUCCUGAGGAUUUCCGGCAUCGUAUGAUUUUUCAUGGAUUUUAAUGGCUAGAUCCGGCAUGCCGUUGAGGUACAUUCACCCUCUGGUGGUGGGGCUUGUCCCUCCUGUGGUUGCACUAGACCUACACAUACCGCAAAGACAUCAUAUAUGAUUUGACAAACCACUUCUGGGUAUCAUUUUAGGUGGUCUCCAUGUAGAUCUGUAACUUCCCGCAUUGAAACCCUACAGAUGCAAUAAAUGUCUCAAAUAUUGCAGGCGGCCUAGAAAAAUGCCAUGUUCUGGCACGUGUCAUGCAAUGGUCCCCUUUGAGAGCACGAGAAGUUUCGAGGUCAAUUAAGCAAUGAGCAACACACUUCCUUCACAAACCGGACAAUUUCUCUCUCGAUAGCCACAUACUACCUUGGGGAUGGUGUAGUUUACAAGGGGCCUCCGGUCAAGCUUCUGCGAAACGCGCUCGAACUUUUACCACACCCUACAAGGGCCAUAUGACGACACCGCGCUAGGUCCCGAGGAUUUCUGGCAUCGUAUGAUUUUCUGUGGAUUUCAAUGGCUAGAUCCGGCAUGCCGCCGUUGUACAUUCGCCCUCCGGUGGUGGGGCAUGUCCCUCCUUUGGUUGCACUACACCUACACAUGUCGUAAAGACAUCAUAUUUGAUUUGACAAACCACUUCUGGACAUCAUUUUAGGUUACAAGCGACCUCUGGUUAGGCUUCUCCGAAACGCGCUGAAACUUUACCACGCCCUACCGUGGUCGGCUCAGCCCGGUUGGAAAGCAUGGGAAGGAGCGAGCCAUUUAGGCCGAUGCCCUUCUCCAAAGUUGUUAAGUGUUUACCCGGAAUAAGAGGAGAAAAUACAAUUGCAAGAGCUUAAUUCUCAUUGGUGGAACCAACUAUGCCAUGGAUUAAUGACAUGGCUCACAUACACCCAUCCAUCUCUCCACCCCACAUACAUCCAUCUAAAGAAAAGGAGGAGGAAAAGAAAAAAACAAGACAUAAAUGCACCGCACACCUCUCCCUCUCGCUCGUCUCUCCCUCCCCCCACCCCACCCAUGAAACCUCAUCGCCGCCACCUGCGCCGCUCGAUUCCGGCUUGUACCGGCGGCCCUCGCCGGCGCGCAGCACAGAUCCGAGCUCCCUUGCCGCUGCUCUUCCCUUCCCUCUAGCCAGAUCCGCCUCUCGCGUCCCUGAGAGCUCACCCACGACCCCUCCCCAUUGCUAGCGUUUCGAGGGUGGCGUCCCCUCCAACUCUGGUGUGUCGCUGGCAACUCUGCUCCGCCCUCUCUGACGCCCACCGCAAGUCCCACGGGCAGCUCCCCCUCGUGGUCGGCUCUCCUGCACCCGGUGGCUGCGGGGCGGACGCACGCGGCGGGUAAACUCCGGCGAGAUGGCGGCUCCAUCCACGGCAUGACGGAGGCUCCAUCCACGGCGUGAUGGCGGUGCACUACAUCGGCUAAAGCACUCCCAUGGUGAGACCCUCUGCACUCCUCUGUUCCCCCCUUUUCCUUGUAUAAUGAUGCUUCACAUUGCUUGAUAUGAUUUUGGUCAAUCUUCACUUCUGCCUAGCUAGCUGCUGGAGUUCUUCCAGUUGUGAAAAUUUUGAUAAAGAAAGUGUGUUCGGUUUAUGUAUGCUAUAACAAAUUACGUACGUGUAUGCUAGCUAAAAGAAGCAACCAAGCUAGUAGCUUAAUUGAUCUACAAAAACUAGCUAUAUGUGCGUCCCUAACAAUGUGUUCAUCAGGCCGCUCUCUUGUAUUGUUUGAGUGCGCCAGUUAGUUCGGCCAGCCUCUAUGAUUUAUUGUGAUAGCUUCUGGAGUGCUUGUAUCUAUAUUUGUGAAAAAAUCAACCCAACAAAAAAAUGUUAAUCAGUCCGCUCUCUCAAAGUUGAGUUUGGGCUGCUGCAUAUGAAUGAUUUUUUUUCUUAGUUUGGGUGCUAGGUACUUGAUGGAGUUGGUGUAUCCAUAGAUAGCAUACACUUGCACAUUUUUUCGAGUUCUUCUGUUGCGAAUGAAAACAACCAUCAUGGAUCUCCUCUGUUUUCAAGCAGCUUGCUUCUCCAUGUAUGUUUUAUGCAGCAUAUACAUCUUGCUCCUCUUUUAUUAAGUAGCAAUGGAAGUUGAUGAAAUUUAAGUGUCGUGUUGUUCUAGAGAUGCAUAGAGGGGGGGGGACGCCCAUGGAUUGGACUGCAAGGAUUGGAUGCAAACCAAUGCACAUGAGGAGGAGAGAUGCAAGCCACGCCAUGACCUAAAGGUCCAUGCCGUGAACCCCUUCCCCUUCCCGUGUAUAAUCAUGCUCAACAAAUACUUGAUAUGAUUUUGGUUGAUCUUCAAUUCAGCCUAGCUAGCUGUUGUAGUACUUGCUUGUCUCUUUCCAAAUGUUGCCCCAGUCCGUUGAGUUUCUUAUUGCUCCAGGUAGUACUGCUAUUUUUCUUCUCUGCGAUUUGGUGUGCAUGGUUCCAGACUCCCAGUCUACCGCUUUUGUUGCUGUGAUGUCGAGCUCUGUUUUCUUUAUUGUGACAAGUGCAAAAUUAGUAGUGGGAAGUAAACUUUUGUUAACUACUUAACUUGUGCGUAUGACACUAGAGAAUUUUUUGUUGCAUAUAUGCAUCCGUGUCAGAUUUCCCACAUCUACAUGAGAAGAAACCACGCUUCUAUAUAGGAGAAGUUGCGCAAGAUUUGAAGCGUGGUUUAAAUUAGUAGGUUUGGUCUCCGGAUAGAUAUUGGUACUUUUACGAUAACCAUGUUAUCUCAAGGAUUGUGCUUGACUAUCAAUUUUCGAUGUCAUUCCUGGCAGAUUUCUUAACUCAAUGUCAGUGCAUCAAAGAUGGUUAGGAGGUUGAAGAUAUGUCGUGUGAAAGGCACGAGGAGGCAAGGACGGGACACGCAGGACGCUGGAGUGGAGGACGAACACCGCAGCAAGGUAUGUCCAGAGAACAACCACGGUCGCCAAGUCACGAAUCCUCUCUUGCAUGUCCACUUCUCCUUGGCUGCCUGGUCAUCAUCAUACCACAAAUCAAAGUUUUCUUGUUGCGAAUUAGAGCAGAUAAAUUUGAUGGCUGUAACUUGCCAUAAUUGCAAGGUCUAAUUCUAUUAUGUGUUGAGUUUAUUGGCACGAUUUGGUCCGUUUUGAUACAAUUUCAUUCUGGUUGCCAUCUACGAGUUACUGUUGUUGCAUCACAAUAAUUUAUUUGGAAGCAAUGAUACUUGAGAUUGAGACUUUCUGGGUAGGUUGUCACAAGUAUUUAACUUAUGAUUUCAAAUUGAGAUACAACCAGCAAUCUGGAAUCAGUACUGUUGCUCAGACAACCUAGAGGGGUUAUAAAAUUUCUUUGCAAAGCUUGUAUAGAAGCUUAAGAAUAUGCCUGCUACUUCUUUUUAGGAAAAUAAAAUGCCUGCUACUUUGGGAUAUUGUGGUGUUACUAAAUGACCGCUUCAUAAAUCAUAAUAUGAGAUGGUGUUUGGUCAACCAAACAUGUAGAAUAUUGGAACAAAAAGACAAAGAAUAUUGGUCAACCAAAGGCAAAUUCACUUCAGCAAAAAUUCACUUGAUGUUGCAAUUUUUUUAUUUGUUAUUUAAGAUUAUUUUUAGAUGGAGAGCUGGGCCAGUUUGGAUGCCAAUGUUGGUUUUUAGAUCAGUCAAUGGUUCAUUGCAGCAUAUGUUCUCCAUAUAAUUUGAUAUGCAAGGUUUUGUUGCUAAAUACUACACCCUUACAAUGCGAAGGGAAGCAAGAGCAGCUAGCAGUAGCAGUUAUAACUGAAGUGAUAAUGGGCACUUUUCUUUUCUGAACAACACUUGAUUUUCUCAUAGUAAUAGUCCUUUACUGAAUUUAGUUGAUACAUAAAUGGUUAUUUACUGAACAACACUUAUAUGUGUGUAGGUACGAUGGUGAUGAAGUUUUAAAAUGGUCCAUUGCCCAACAAGGGCAUUCUAAUUUCUGACUGGAUUAUACUGUAACAAUAUGACACCGAAAUUUCAAAUGGUUCACAUACUAUAGUUCAUUUACAGGAGAUUGUAAACG
rnacentral:lncRNA from 1 species